rnacentral:rRNA from 1 species
UUCCGGUUGAUCCCGCCGGACCCGACUGCUAUCAGAGUGGGACUAAGCCAUGCGAGUCGACGUAGCAAUGCGUGGCGAACGGCUCAGUAACACGUAGUCAGCAUGCCCAGGGGACGUGGAUAACCUCGGGAAACUGAGAAUAAACCACGAUAGGUCACGAUUUCUGGAAUGGAUCAUGGCAUAAAUCUACAUGGCCCCUGGAUUGGACUGCGGCCGAUCAGGCAGUUGGUGAGGUAAUGGCCCACCAAACCUAUAACCGGUACGGGCUCUGAGAGGAGAAGCCCGGAGAUGGGCACUGAGACAAGGGCCCAGGCCCUAUGGGGCGCAGCAGGCGCGAAACCUCUGCAAUAGGCGAAAGCCUGACAGGGUUACUCUGAGUGAUUUCCGCUAAGGGGAUCUUUUGGCACCUCUAAAAAUGGUACAGAAUAAGGGGUGGGCAAGUCUGGUGUCAGCCGCCGCGGUAAUACCAGCACCCCGAGUGGUCGGGACGAUUAUUGGGCCUAAAGCAUCCGUAGCCGGUUCUGCAAGUCUUCCGUUAAAUCCAGCCGCUCAACGGAUGGGCCGCGGAGGAUACUAUAGGACUAGGAGGCGGGAGAGGCAAGCGGUACUCAGUGGGUAGGGGUAAAAUCCUUUGAUCCAUUGAAGACCACCAGUGGCGAAGGCGGCUUGCCAGAACGCGCUCGACGGUGAGGGAUGAAGCUGGGGGAGCAAACCGGAUUAGAUACCCGGGUAGUCCCAG